CCUACGGGGCGCAGCAGUGAGGAAUAUUGGUCAAUGGACGAGAGCCUGAACCAGCCAAGUAGCGUGAAGGAUGACUGCCCUAUGGGUUGUAAACUUCUUUUAUAUGGGGAUAAAGUUAGCCACGUGUGGCUUUUUGCAUGUACCAUACGAAUAAGGACCGGCUAACUCCGUGCCAGCAGCCGCGGUAAUACGGAGGAUCCGAGCGUUAUCCGGAUUUAUUGGGUUUAAAGGGAGCGUAGGCUGAUUAUUAAGUCAGUUGUGAAAGUUAGCGGCUCAACG
rnacentral:rRNA from 1 species